AGUGAACGCUGGCGGUAGGCCUAACACAUGCAAGUAGAACGGCAGCACAGUAAGAGCUUGCUCUUACGGGUGGCGAGUGGCGGACGGGUGAGGAAUACAUCGGAAUCUACUUUUUCGUGGGGGAUAACGUAGGGAAACUUACGCUAAUACCGCAUACGACCUACGGGUGAAAGCAGGGGAUCUUCGGACCUUGCGCGAUUGAAUGAGCCGAUGUCGGAUUAGCUAGUUGGCGGGGUAAAGGCCCACCAAGGCGACGAUCCGUAGCUGGGCUGAGAGGAUGAUCAGCCACACUGGAACUGAGACACGGUCCAGACUCCUACGGGAGGCAGCAGUGGGGAAUAUUGGACAAUGGGCGCAAGCCUGAUCCAGCCAUACCGCGUGGGUGAAGAAGGCCUUCGGGUUGUAAAGCCCUUUUGUUGGGAAAGAAAAGCAGCAGGUUAAUACCCCGCUGUUCUGACGGUACCCAAAGAAUAAGCACCGGCUAACUUCGU
rnacentral:rRNA from 1 species